CGUCUGAGAGUUAAUUAGCAGAAUGGAAUCCUCUUAUAAUAAAUCUCGGGUUCUUUUAGGAAUUAUGUUAAAAGAGGAAUUCCAUUACACACAAUGAACAUUGAUUGCUAAGACUUAAGGGAAGUUUGGCAAUCUGCUGAAAUCAUAUAAUUUUUCACAACAUGAAGGUUGCACAAAUGCCUUUUAUUUCUUUUCUCAAGAAACCUGCAUGCUACUUUCAGGCCAAAUAGUAUGUGUCCUCUUGGAGACUCAUUCUUCUAACACAUUUCUUCUUUCCUACAUAUCACCCACUUCUCUUGUAAGACAUGCAGAAAAAGAUCUAUACAUUUGAAAGAAAUAAAAUUACAAACUUAUCACUUAGGCUUGACAGCAAGCAUAAAAAUAAAGUGUACCCAUACCAUUCUAGUGUAAAAUAUGGGUGAGGAAUAGUUACUUAGUGGACCUUUAGACUAUUAAUUUACCUAUGAAUUCUGAUACCCCUGCUUUAUACUUUGUUUCUUACAAAUAUUGUUACUCCCUGCACACAACUCUCUUCCUAUAAAAAUUUUCUGUUACAUCAUCCUUUCAAAUUGACACUUUAAAUGUUUCCAAUAAGACAUGUUCCAAAUUUUUUUUCAUACUCAAGCAUAAUUUUAUGAUAAGUAAAUUGUUGCACAUAUUUUAGAAAGUUUAUGAUUUCUGUGUAAAUUCAUUUAAAUAGUUGGGCAAUGCAAACAGUGUUGAGUGAAUGAGUUAAUGAACAAGUUGCAAUUUUUUCUUGCAUUGUAUAUCUAUCAUGGAAAAACAGACACGCAACUAGCAUUUAUAGAAUUAAGGCUAAACAUAUUUCAACUUGUACUCUUACAAAAUGAAAAAGAAAAGAAAUGAAUGUUCAUUAUCAUCUCAUCAAAUAGAAGUAAUAAAUUAUGGUGGAUUUUGUCUAUUGAAAGAUAGUGUUGGAAAAUUGCUGGCAGCUAAUUGUAGCAAUGAAUUUUCUGCUAAAGAACGGUGAUUAGUACACAUUUUGUUCAACCCUAAAGGUUUUUGAUAUUUUUUUUUCCUUUCAGUCUGUGGAAUUUUGCUAGGCUUUUAUGACUCAGAGGCCUAGGAUGCCAAUAAAACUUCUUAAAACUAAGUGCUAUAGUAGGCAAGUUAUCUAACCAACUUUUGGGAUCUGGUGGGAUUUUUCCUUUUGACAUUUUAGGUCUGUUGAUUUCUAACACUUUGAGGGUGGAAAUAUUUGCCCAAACCUAUGCAAAUAUUAUUUUUUAAAACAUCUAUGAGUUUUGAAAAUGUAACUUCUAAAUGUCACAUUUGCAUAGGGGAAAAAUGGCCUAAGAUGAUAAAGUAUGACAUAAUAAAUGUUUAAACAUUGAUUGUGGCUUUGGUAAUUAAUUCAGUCCCUUUACAUAACAUCACUGUUUCUCUAUUAGUAAAAAUGUGACAUUAUUUCUUGAGAUCACUUAAAUUCUGCAUUUAAUUUUUAAGGUAAUGGGAAGGAAGAGAGGGCUAAUAUGCAUUGGGACCAAACAAGUACAAUUGAUUUACAAGCAAAUAUUACCCAAGAAGAUGUGUGACAGCCAGAGAUCCCAAUCAUGAGUCCAUUGAUUCUUCUAAAUAUGAUGGGCAAAAAAGAAAAAUGUAUUUUGACAUUUACAGUAUUUUGAAGUUAUUACUAAUUCUUUAUUAAAGUAAUUGUCAGCUACUAAAGAUUUCCUUUGAUUGAUAUAUAAGUAGGCUGAAGAGGAAGAAAAGCAAUAUGGAUCGUUUGUGUUACAAAAGCCCUACAGAUCUGAUUAUGAAUUAGGCAGCUAUGUUAAAUUGCUACCUUAGUUCAAAGUGGAGAAAAGAAGGCAAGCCUGCUACUGGGAAUGAAGUUGACAAUAAAUAUUUUGGACCAGGCAAGUAUAAGAGAUAUUUCUAGAAGAUAAUGGGAUCACUUGGGGUCACUGCAUUCAAACUGAAGCCCAAGUUCAACCUUGGAACAACCAUCAGGAUUUCAGUGUCAAGAGAAAGUGGUAUUCUAGAUUAUGUGAGGUGCCUAUUGAAAGUCUUCCUAACGCUGAAAAGUUUGAGUCAGCUGUAAUUCCUUGUGGGCUCCAACAGAAGAAACCAACAUAAUGGUACUGUCAGUGGUAACGGUAAUAGAAUAAUAAACCAACAUCAUAAAGGA